GAAAUGCGAUACUUGGUGUGAAUUGCAUAAUCCCACGAACCAUCGAGUCUUUUAACGCAAGUUGCGCCCGAAGCCAUUAGGUUGAGGGCACGUCAGCCUGGGCAUCUCACGUUGCGUCGCCCGCGCCCCCUUGAAGGAAGGGCUGCGGGCGGAUGUUGGCCCCCGCACGCGUGCCCGCGCACGGUCGGCCCUAAAGCGAGUCCCCCGCGACGGACGACGCGUCGCGAUGAGUGGUGGUUGACAAACCAUUGCGUCACCUCGCGCGCAUCCGGGCCGUCUCGAGAGGCCAGCUGUGACCCUAUCGCGCCGCCGCCAAGGCGCUCCGAUCGCAACCCCAGGUCAGGCGGGAUUACCCACUGAGUUUAA
rnacentral:misc_RNA from 1 species